CAGCAGCCGCGGUAAUACGAAGGGGGCAAGCGUUAUCCAAAAUGAUUGGGCGUAAAGUAUUCGUAGGCGGUAUUUUUUGUUGUAUGAGAAAAUUUAGGUUUAUUACUUAAAAAUUUAUAUAAUACUUUUUUACUUGAGUAAAAUAGAGGCUAAUAGAAUUUUAUACGGAAGAGUAAAAUCUUAUGAUUUAUGAAGGAAUGUCAAUGGCGAAAGCGAUUAGCUAUAUUUUUACUGACGCUGAGGAACGAAAGCAUGGGGAGCAAACAGGAUUAGAUACCCUGGUAGUCCAUGCUGUCAAAGAUGAAUACUAAUUUUGGGAGUUUUUUCUGAUCUAAAGCUAACGCGUUAAGUAUUCCGCCUGGGAAGUAUGAUCGCAAGAUUGAAACUCAAAGGAAUUGACGG
rnacentral:rRNA from 1 species